UGGGGGAUAUUGCACAAUGGGCGAAAGCCUGAUGCAGCGACGCCGCGUGGGGGAUGAAGGCCUUCGGGUUGUAAACCUCUUUUGCUCUGAACAAGGCGCACCAUGGGGUGUGUUGAGUGUAGGGGUUGAUUAGCGCCGGCUAACUACGUGCCAGCAGCCGCGGUAAUACGUAGGGCGCGAGCGUUGUCCGGAAUUAUUGGGCGUAAAGGGCUUGUAGGUGGCUGGUUGCGUCUGUCGUGAAAGCUCAUGGCUUAACUGUGGGUUUGCGGUGGGUACGGGCUGGCUUGAGUGCAGUAGGGGAGGCUGGAAUUCCUGGUGUAGCGGUGGAAUGCGCAGAUAUCAGGAGGAAUACCGGUGGCGAAGGCGGGUCUCUGGGCUGUUACUGACACUGAGGAGCGAAAGCAUGGGGAGCGAACAGG
rnacentral:rRNA from 1 species